UCUUUCCUACGGGGCGCAGCAGUGGGGAAUAUUGGACAAUGGGGGAAACCCUGAUCCAGCGACGCCGCGUGAGUGAAGAAGUAUUUCGGUACGUAAAGCUCUAUCAGCAGGAAAGAAAAUGACGGUACCUGACUAAGAAGCCCCGGCUAACUACGUGCCAGCAGCCGCGGUAAUACGUAGGGGGCAAGCGUUAUCCGGAUUUACUGGGUGUAAAGGGAGCGUGGACGGCAGCGCAAGACUGGAG
rnacentral:rRNA from 1 species